GGAGGUGUCAGGUGACCUGGUGGCACCCACCGCCUUCAAAGCGGCUGGUCGCAGCGACCCUGCGACGGCGGGUUCGAUUCCCGUCCACCUCCGCCA
rnacentral:tRNA from 1 species